CCCCUCACCGUGGCCUUGGCCGUGAGCACCAACGCCUCCUGGUUGAUGCUGGACACCUCGGGGGAGCUCUUCAUGAUGACCCGGAUGCGGGAUAGAGGCAGCGAGAUGAGCCGCUGCUCCCCGCCCUUGUCUUUACCCACGACCACGUCCGCCAUCUUCCCGCCCGUCGCGCGGGUGCCCGCAGCCGGCGGGCCCGACCGCGAAGUGGCUGCCCUGCCCGGCCAGCUGGUGGGUACGGGGAGCCGCGCCCGCUGCCCCGUGGGAGUUGUAGUGUGGGGAGGCGAGGCCGCGAGGCCGGGAGCGGCCCGUCCGGGAAACUACGAGCUCCGUGAGGCCUCGCGCCCCCGAUCUGCGCAUGCGCCGACGCUCGGACACCGCCCCCGAGUGCGAGGCCCGGCGCGGAACCGGCAGCCGAGAGCCUGGCGGGGGCGGGGCGCACCGCGCCGCUCCCGGGAGUCUCCGGGCUGCGGUCGCGGAAUACGACUUUGAUCCGCGGGUGAGGGCUCUGUGAAUGGGCAAGCAAAGCCCUCUGACUCCGGGCCUCGUGGCUGGGUGCUGUGUGUUAAGCGCCUGCGCUGUACUAGGACCGGGCGUGCCGCCGUCGGCAAAAAGUGACGCUUUCUUGAAGCACAAAGUCCAGGGGGGACGACCAAGCGGACAGCGGAUGCGUCCUGCGCCGGUAGCCAGGCGACCGGUGGAAGAGCAGAGUCCAGCGCGGGCGAUGCGGCGGGGCCAGGCUUGCUGCGCCGCGGGGUGAUUGGGAGAAGAGCCUUCCUGCGGGGUGGAGGACGAAGAGCUGCCCUGAGGAGGUCCCGGAGUCUGGUGGGAACGGCCUCUUCGGGACUGCUCCGAGAGACGGUGUGCAGAGCCUGGCGUGCUCGCCGAGGUCUGACAGGCAGCCCGGGGCUAGGUCCUGUUGGAUUUUUUUUUCUAAGGAAAAUGGGAAGUGGUGGUAGGGUUUGAGCAGUGGAGUCCCGGGCAGUUUUAAAAGGAUCCCUGCAGCUGCCGGCUGGGAGGGCGUGGGUGCGCGUAAGGCCGGAAUCACAGAGACCAGGUAGAAGAUGAUUACGAGAACCCAGGAACGUGGCCCUCAGGAGGCCGGCAGUACCAAGGGGACAGCAGCUGGGAGGAGAGAGGCAGGAGAUGGUCAGGGGCCAGACCAGGGAAGGCCGCGGAGACCGCAGAAUUCGCUCUGAAUGAGUGGGGAGGCCCUUGGAAGAGUAAGGGGUCCAACUUAACUUUUUUUUUUUUUUUUUUUUUUGACACAGAGUCUCGCUCUGUCGCCAGGCUGGAGUGCAGUGCGAUCUCGGCUCACUGCAACCUCCAACACCCCGAUUCAAGCAAUUCUCCUGCCUCAGCCUCCUGAGUAGCUGGGAUUAUAGGCACGCGCCACCCAGCUAAUUUUUUGUAUUUUUAGUAGAGACGGGUUUUCACCAUGUUGGCCAGGAUGGUCUCGAUCUCCUGACCUCGUGAUCCGCCCGCCUCGGCCUACCAGAGUGCUGCGAUUACAGGCGUAAGCCACCGCGCCUGGCCACCAACUUAACUUCUGCCAGGAUCAUGGGAAGUGGUAGGGUUUGGGGUCUGAUUUCAAGAGGGAGCUGCUGUGGAGUAUCAGCACAGCUUACUGAGAUAUCAGAAAGGCCUUGGUAAAGAGCCCUUUACUGAGACAGGGAGCACAUUUUGGCAGAGGUUUGAAUUGGAGCGUGUUAAGUGUAGUGUCUUCUUCACCACUGUGACGUGAGGUCCUGGCGCAAAUAAUUGAGCACAGAAAUACAUGUCAGGCAUUGCUAGGCACAAGGGUACAGCCAGUGAGCAGGGCUGCCAUGGUCCCUGCCCUCUUAGAGCUGACCUUCAGGUCUGAGGGAGACUGAAAAAUAAGUAAGAAUACCUCCAGCCGGGCGCUUUGGCUCACGCCUGUAAUCCCAGCACUUUGGGAGGCCAAGGUGGGUGGAUCACCUGAGGUCAAGAGUUCGAGACCAGCCCAACCAAUAUAGUCAAACCCCAUCUCUACUGAAAUUAUUAAAAUUAGCUGGGCGUGGUGGUGGGCACCUGUAAUGCCAGCUACUCGGGAGGCUGAGGCAGGAGAAUCGCUGGAACCCAGGAGGCAGAGGUUACAGUGAUCCGGGAUCGCGCCACUGCACUCCAGCAGCCUGGGCGACAGAGGGAGACUCCAUCUCAAAAAAAAAAAAAAAAAAAAAAUACACCUCCAAUGCUGAAAGCUACGAAGGAAACAAAACCAUGUGCGAGUGAUAGGGCAGCCCCUCUGGGAAGUGACAUUUGUGCCCAGAUCUGAAGAAAGAAAAGGAGCCACUCAUACAGAAAGACUGAGACAAGAUGAGCUUUCGGGACAAGUCAGGCUCUAGGGAGAACACCUGACGAGGAAAAUGCCUGGGCAGUUUGAGGAACUGAAAAGCCAGUGUGUCUGGAGCUUAGUGAGGGAGGCAGAGAGCACGGGAGGUGUGGUUACCAAGGUAGGUGGGACCGGCUCUGGCCCUGGGUAAAAAGUUUGACUUUCAUUCCAAGAGUAAUGGAAAAUAAUGAAGAAUUUUGAACUCGAGGUGGUGCAUGCCUGUAAUCCCAGCACUUUGGGAGGCCGAGGGGGGGCAGAUCUCCUGAGGUCAGGAGUUCGAGACCAGCCUGACCAACAUGGCGAAACCCCGUCUCUACUAAAAAUACAAAAAAUUAGCCGGGCAUGGUGGCACGCGCCUGUAAUCCCAGCUACUUAGGAGGCUGAGGCAGGAGAAUCGCUUGAACCCGGGAGGCGGAGGUUGCAGUGAGCCAAGAUCACGCCACUUGCACUCCAGCCUGGGCAACAAGAGAGAAACUCCAUCUCAAAAACAAACAAAUCCAGACCAGCCUGGCUAACAUGGCAAAACCCCCUCUCUACUAAAAAUAGAAAAAUUGGCUGGGCAUGGUGGUAAGCACCUGUAAUCUCAGCUGCAUUGGCGGCUGAGGCAGGAGAAUCACUUGAACUCAGAAGGUGGAGGUUGCAGUGAGCACAGAUCACACCACUGCACUCCAGCCUGGGCAACAGAGCAAGACUCUCAAAAAAAAAAAGUUUUGAAGGGAGCAGAUCCACUUUAAAAGCUCACACUGGUUCUUGAGUGAUGACCAAAUGGCACUGUGCCUUAUGCAGAGCCGACUCCUGGCAGUUUGCACAGGCUGGAGGUGGAGCUGCAGACUCCCUCUCCCUCUCGGCCUUGCCUCUGUAAAUGGGAAAGCCGUUGACAUUCACAAAAGAGGGGCAGGGAACUGCUACACAAGAGCAGCUACACAAGAGGGUCCUUUGGUCCACACAGGAAACAAGCCAUAGUGAUGACAUAUUUUGAAGCUGUUAGAUGUUUUGUUUCCCUAGCUGGCUAUUAUUUUUGUAUGGCUUGUCUUUCUCUUUUGAGUAUGUGUGAGAACAGGAUGGGGAUGAGAAGCUCAGCUUGUAGAAUUGGCAGGUGAUGUUUGCAGUCAUUAAUCAUUUGAGAAGUAGAGAGAGAAGCCAAGCAGGAAAUCUUCAUACUGGAAAAGAAGUGCUCACCAUUAAAAAAAAAAAAAAAAAAAAUCCAGUGUGGUUCACAGCUGUAAUCCCAUCACUUGGAGGCUGAGGCAGGAGAAAUACGUGAAGCCAGGAGUUUGAGACCAGCCUGGGCAAUAUAACAAGACCCACAUCUCUACAAAGAGAAAAAAAAUGUAAAAAAAAGAAGCUUUAAACCUAAGACGGCAGAAUUCAAGACUGUUGUCCUUGAGAACUUCCUGGCUCUGGAAAAAGCUCAGUGAGUUAGUCUCAUCCUGUCGUUAGCUCUGUUUUUUAGGGGCUCACUUUGUCUUCACGACAGUACCUUGCACCAUUCUCAUGGGUAUCCCAGGGUGGUGCAAGGCAGUUUUCUGCACUUCCCAGAAUGCCCUGUCAGCUGGCUUCUGGGUAGGUUCUGCAAAUUGGAGGCCCCUGUGAAAGAUCGCUGUGGGGUGGGAGGAAGAAGCUUUAUCUGCCUGCUGGCUGCAGGGUAGAGGACUGCAGUGGGGUUAUAGGGAUCACCACCUGCACAUGUGGAGCUUUGAGCGGCUUCACUCUAAGUUUCUGCUCAACAGUGGCAGCCCUGGAGUCCUUCGGGGGCGAGUGUGGGCUCCUGGGCUCCAGGCCAGGGGCAGUCCCAGCUUCCUGAUCUCGAGGUAGCGUCUCCUCCCUUUUGCUCCAUAGCACCUCGCCCUUCUCAGUGACGUGCCUCCUUCUCAGUCAUGCGCCUCCAGCUCUAACAAUGUCCUUGAAAACAAUUCUUGACCAUGCGCCGUGGCUCACGCCUGUAAUCCCAACACUUUGGGAGUCUGAGGCAGGCGGAUCACUUGAGGUCAGGAGUUUGAGACCAGCCUGGCCAACAUGUAAUCCCAGCUACUCCCUCCACUUGAUUUGUGUUCCUUGAAGAAAUUUGCAUAAUCCCUGUAUCUGGUUGGCAGAUAGCAGAGAUGUAGCCUCAGUCUUUCCUUUAAAAAUUUUGCUUUAGGCAGGGCGCGGUGGCUCACACCUAUAAUCCCAGCACGUUGGGAGGCCAAGGUGGGCAGAUCAUGAGAGCAGGAAUUUGAGAUCGGCCUAGCCAAUAUGGUGAAACCCCGUCUCUACUAAAAAUAUAAAAAUUAGCUGGGCGUGGUGGCACAAGCCUGUAAUCCCAGCUAUUUGGGAGGCUGAGGCAGGAGAAUCGCUUGAAUCCAGGAGGCAGAGGUUGAGAUGAGCCGAGAUCACGCUAUUGCACUCCAGCCUGGGCAACAGAGGGAUACUCCAUCUCAAAAAAAAUUUUUUGCUUUAGGGCCAAUCGUGGUGACACACGCUUGUAAUUCUGGCACUUUGAGAGGCCGAGGCAGGUGGAUAAUUUGAGGUCAGGGGUUCGAGAGCAGACUGGCCAUGAUGGUGAAAUCCCAUCUCUACUAAAAAUACAAAAAAAGCCAGGUAUGGUGGCAUACGCCUGUAAUCCCAGCUACUCGGGAGGCUGAAGCAGGAGAAUCACUUGAACCCGGGAGGUUUAGGUGGCAUUGAGCCGAGAUUGCACCACUGCACUCCAGCCUGGGUGACAGAGCGAGACUCCAUCUCAAAAAAAAAAAAAAGGGCCGGACGCGGUGGCUCACGCCUUUAAUCCCAGCACUUUGGAAGGCCGAGGCGGGUGGAUCACCUGAGGUCAGGAGUUCAAGACCAGCCUGGUCAACAUGGUGAAACCCCGUCUCUACUAAAAACAUUAAAAAAUUAGCCGGGCAUGGUAGUGGGCGCCUGUAAUACCAGCUACUGAGGAGGCUGAGGCAGGAGAAUUGCUUGAACCCAGGAGACAGAGGUUGCAGUGACCUGAGAUUGUGCCACUACACUCCAGCCUGGGCAACAAAGCAAGACUCUGUCUUAAACAAACAAAAAGCCCAGUGUGGUGGUGUAUAUUUGUGGUCCUAGCUACUUUGAAGGCUGAGGUGGGAGGAUUGCUUGAGUACAACAUGUAGAGGCUGCAGUGAGCUGUGAUUGUGCCACUGCACCCCAGUGUGGGUGACAGAGCAAGACCCUGUCUCAAAAUAAUAAAAUUAACAUUCAUUAACAAUAAUGUUAAUAUAUAUGUUAAUGUAUAUGUUAAUCGUAAUGUUUAUAUUUUACCAUGAUAAAAACAUUUUAAAAUCAUAUAUCAACUCUUGCCGUUCUCCUGUUGAAAACUCUCCAAUGACUUCCCACUCCAUCAUCCUGUGGGAUGGGUCCACCAUGCUGGACCACAAGGCUCUGCACAAUGCGGCUCCCACCAGCCUCUCCCCUUGGCCCAGAUUGCUUCCUCCUACCCCUUUCUCUAGCUGCCAGGCCCCCCAACCCCCGCAUGGAGCCCUUCAGCAGCUCUGUGAGCUCCCUGCCUGUUGGCAGCCAUCACAGCAACGGGCUCUGGUGUGCCCCUUGUUAUCCCUGUAUUCAGGCCAUUAUCUGUAAUGACAGCCUGGCAUAAUUUUAUUUUCACAAUUUGUAUAAUUAUAUUCUAUUGAGCUAAAUGAUCAUUAUAAUCAUUAUUAAAUAUUUAUUAAGCACUUCUAGCUGUGCAAACAUAAUAAGAUGUGGCCUCAGCUCUUAAAAUCUUUCUUCCUAAUUCCAACCCAAAUUCAUUUCAACUUAACCAAUCUUCCUUCUUGGAGAAGGAGGGAACUUCGGCGUUUUGUCUGGGUUUCCAUGCCCGAGCUUAUAGGAGCUUCUUAGCAAUGCUGUGGAGCAGAUGCUAUUGACUUCAGUUUACAGAUAAGGAAACAAUCAGACUGAGGAAGCUAGUAUUAAUAAGUAGCAGAGAUUAAGAUUUGCCUGUGGUUCUUUUUUACACAAAGCCUCUCCCACUCCUUUCAUGCACUGUUAGCCAAGUUUACUAGAAUAGGCAACUUCCUUUUUAAAAAAUCCUGUUUACAUUUUAGGUGCCAAACACUGUGCUAAUCCAGUGGGGGAAACAUAUGCUCAAAAAGAUCACUCUGAGACCAGGCAUGGUGGCUCAUGCCUGUAAUCCCAAGCCUUUGGGAGGAUGAGGUCUGAGGACUGCUUGAGGCCAGGAGUUUGAGAUGAGCCUGGGCAACAUAGUAAGGCCCCUUCUGUACAAAAAAUUUAAAAACUAGCCAGGCCUGGUGGCAUGUGACUACAGGCUGCAGUAAGCUAUGAUCGUGCCACUGCACUCCAGCCUGGGUGACAGAAUGAGACCCUGUCUCUAAAAACAAAACAAAACUCAAGCAGUAUCCUAAGUCAGGGUCCAAGCAGUAAUGGAAAUGGGUGAAGCUGACAGGCGAGUGAUAGAGAAUGGAGGGGUCUGUAGCAAACGUGACGACUCUGGCUUACCUAAGAGGGCAGCCAAUUUUGCCAUGAGGCAAUGUGGGAUCAGUGAGUGCUGUUCCAGUCUUCAAUUUCGAUUUAUAAGUAAAAUCUCCAAUAUUUUAUAUGUUGGCAACUUUGGCAUUCCUUUCCUUAAACCUCACUGCCACCCCGCACCCCAAUUCAUUUCAGUAGGGAUCAGAUAGCCAACAUCCUUAUAAAAUCAAAAGUAUACAGGCCGGGUGCAGUGGCUCACACCUAUAAUCCCAGCACUUUGGGAGGCCGAGGCAGGCGGAUCACGAGGUCAGGAGAUCGAGACCAUCCUGGCUAACAUGGUGAAACCCCGUCUCUACUAAAAAUACAAAAAAAAAAUUAGCCGGGCGUGGUGGCAGGCGCCUGUAGUCUUAGCUACUUGGGAGGCUGAGGCAGGAGAAUGUUGUGAACCCGGGAGGCGGAGCUUGCAGUGAGCUGAGAUCACGCCACUGCACUCCAGCCUGGGUGACAGAGCGAGACUCCAUAUCCCAAAAGAAAAAAAAAAAAAAGAUACAAAUCUUAAUUGGCAUAAACCAGUCCUAGUAAUAUCAUGCCCUUUGGCCAGUCGUUGGUCACAGGGUGAGCUAAUGACCCAACUCUGACAAAUUACAUGUAAGAGGAAUACUGCUAAAAAGAUAUUUUCGGCCAGGCGUGGGGGCUCACACCUGUAAUCCCAGUACUUUGGGAGGCCGAGGCGGGCAGAUCACUUGAGGUCAGGAGUUUGAGACCAGCCUUGGCAACAUGGUGAAACCCCAUUUCUACUAAAAAUACAAAAAUUAGCCGGGCAUGCUGGUGGGUACCUGUAAUCUCAGCUACUCGGGAGGCUGAGGCACAAGAGUCACUUGAACCCAAGAGGCACAGGUUGCAGUGAACCAAGAUCAUGCCACGGCACUCCAGCCUGGGCGAUACAGUGAGACUCAGUCUCAAAAAAAAAAAAAAAAAAAAGAGUAUCUUUUCUUCAGUAAAAAGACAAAGCUGUUUGGGUGCAGUGGCUCACACCUGUAAGGAGAAUUGCUUGAACCCAGGAGGUAGAGGUUGUAGUGAGCUGAAAUCAUACCACUGCACUCCAGCCUGGGCGACAGAGCAAGACACUGUCUCAAAAAAAAAAAAAAAAAAAAAAGACAAAGCCUUGAGGGCUGAGGAAGAAAUGUGGAAACUGCCCUUUCCCUUUGUUCUUGUCUAAUGCAGUCACAAAGUCUGGAGCAGUAGCAGCCAUUUUUCAACCAUGAGGCAGUAAGCAUGAAGCCUAAAACCAGCAUGCCAAGAAGGACAAAGCAGAAAGACUGAAAUCUCUAAGGCCCUUGCAGACACCCUUACUGCAUCAGUUCCAGACUUGGCUCCCAUAGCUCCAGAUGUGGCCAUGGCCACUGUAUAUGUAAGCUUGAUGGAAUAAGCACUAAUGCGGCACCUUAGAGCUGCUGGAAAAGAGACCAAUGGACAUGUACGAAUGGGGGAUCCUGCCAUUUGCCGAGUAAAGGCCUCCUGUGUAGAAGGUGUCCUUUGAUAAGCAUUCACAUGGAAUACAAAUCUCCACUCAUCUCUCCCCAAUCCAAAAGGUUCAUCCACACCCCCUCUCCAGACCUUCUUGUCUUUCUGUCUCCAAACAUGUUCUUUCCAAGUUUCUGAACCUUCAAAGUGUUAGUGACUGUCCGUGAACUGGAGUAGACCCAACCCUUCUGGCUUUCUUGCUUGCUUUUUUUUUUUUUUUUUUUUUGAGAUGGAGUUUUGUUCUUGUUGCUCAGGCUGGAGUGCAAUGGCGCGAUCUCGGCUCACCACAACCUCCGCCUCCCGAGUUCAAGCAAUUCUCCUGCCUCAGCCUCCUGAAUAGCUGGGAUCACAGGCGUGCGCCACCACGCCCGGCUAAUUUUGUAUUUUUAGUAGAGACGGGGUUUCUCCAUGUUGGUCAGGCUGGUCUCAAACUCCUGACCUCAGGUGAUCCACCUGCCUCGGCCUCCCAAAGUGCUGGGAUUACAGGUGUGAGCCACCGCACCCAGCCCACUUCCCUGUUGAUUCUGUCUCUCUGGAAGAACCCUCACUAAUAAACUUUACUUGACCUUCAAAAUAAUAAUGCUCAAAAGACACCCUCAUUUGGGGUGCCAGAGUCUGGCAUUUGUUCUCUACCAGUGCCUGGUAGCAAAUCUGAAGCUGUGUAAUGCUUAAAUGGAGAAUAGUCAUUUUCAGAGGAGGGUAUAUCUUUGCUCUAAACCCCUUGGAGUCUGUGCUGUGACUUUUAUUUUUUAUUUUUUUUUUUGAGACAGAGUCUUGCUCUUGUUGCCCAGGCUGGAGUGCAAUGGCGUGAUCUCGGCUCACUGCAACCUCCGCCUCUUGGGUUCAAGUGGUUCUCCUGCCCCAGCCUCCUGAGUAGCUGGGAUUAUAGGCACCCACCACCACACGCAGCUAAUUUUUUGUAUUUUUUAGUAAAGACUUUAAAGACAUUUCAAUUUCACCAUGCUGGCCAGGCUGGUCUUCAACUCCUGACCUUAGGUGAUCCACCGCACCUUGGCCUCCCAAAGUGCUGGGAUUACAGGAGUGAGCCACUGCACCCAGCCUGUGCUGUGACUCUUAUACUGGUCCCUGCCAGAACUUACAGGAGCAUGACCUGUCACGGACAACCUGAGCACCACUGGAUCUGCAGGGUUAUCUGUCAAAUGGGUCGGAGCAGCAUACUCAAAUGUGGUCGCUAUUAUCUCUAAAAGUCAAGGAAAGCCAGCAGUGCAGGACACUCAAAUCCAGACGUCAUUCCACUAGCUAAGCUAAGCAAACAGUUGGAGCUAUCCCAGCUGUCGAAGCUAACACGCUGCAUUUAGACUCUCUUGCAAGUCAGCUGUGUUGGUAACUAGAGGCUCUGGAUUGACACAUUAGAAUCCACUCCCAUACAUUCCCCAGGUUUUGGCUGGUAAAAAUUGAUUGAUAUCCCAUAAUUCCUUCAGCAUGUGAACUUCUCCCAAAUCAGGUGUUUUGUUUUGUUUUGUUUUGUUUUGUUUUGUUUUGUUUUGUUUUGUUUUGUUUGGAGACAGAGUCUCACUCAGUAGCCCAGGCUGGAAUCGCACCAUUGCACUUCAGCCUGGGUGACAAGAGCAAAACUCCAUCUCAAAAACAAAAAAAGAAUGACGCCUUAGUUUGGGGUUAGAGCAAAUGGUGCUGCCUAUUUCUGGGAUGGGGAAGACAAGAAGGAAUAGAGUUGGGGACAGAGGUAUCAAGAGUUAUUUGAGGGCACAGAAGUCCAAGAUGGCUAUAAGACAGUCAGGUGGGAAGGUCAGUGGAGGCUCAGGGGGGACAUGCAGGCUGGGAUAGAAAUGUGAGCAUCCCCAGAUAGGUGGCCUGUAGGGCCAUGAGCCUGGUAGGGUGACUGAGCGAGGAGAAUAGCCGGAGAAGGGGAGGUCCAAGGACCCAGACCCACCUGGUUAUUUCACAUUUGGGGCCAGACUGGCUUUGUUUACCAUUGAUCUGAGCAUGAAAAUCAAGUGAAAAUCAAAAGGAAGCCAGGAGCCACGCCUCCUCCGUGACUGCGGAUCCUGGGCCAAUGUUUCGCUGCUGCAGUGAGACCCCUGACUUUGUGUGGGCAGUGGGACCAACUGGGCAUGUGCAGUGAUCAGUUGCUAAAUAUUGGCACUCUCAUUAGCCUUGGGAUCUGGAAACCUCCAUCCACCAGACACAGCCCAUUUCCAGCUCACCCGCUCUCCACACUAGGACUCUGAACACCCUUUCUUCAUGCCUCUUCUCCUUCCUAACUGCCUGCCUGCUCCAGCAGGCCUCAGGCCACUUCUUUUUUGUGUGCCACCACACCCAGUGGUGUAUUUAAAAUAACAAAAGCUGGAGGAACAUGGUGGCACCUACCUAUAAUCCCAACACUUUGGGAGUCUGAGGCAGGAGGAUCACUUAAGCCCAGAAGUUCAAGACCAGCCUGGGAAACAUGUUGAGACCUCAACUCUAAAAAGUUUUUAAAAUUAGCCAGAUGUGGCCAGCAUCAUCCUGAUACCAAAGCCGGGCAGAGACACAACCAAACAAGAGAACUUUAGACCAAUAUCCUUGAUGAACAUUGAUGCAAAAAUCCUCAAUAAAAUACUGGCAAACAGAAUCCAGCAGCACAUCAAAAGCUUAUCCACUAUGAUCAAGUGGGCUUCAUCCCUGGGAUGCAAGGCUGGUUCAAUAUAUGCAAAUCAAUAAAUGUAAUCCAGAAUAUAAACAGAACCAAAGACAAAAACCACAUGAUUAUCUCAAUAGAUGCAGAAAAGGCCUUUGACAAAAUUCAACAACCCUUCAUGCUAAAAACUCUCAAUAAAUUAGGUAUUGAUGGGACGUAUCUCAAAAUAAUAAG
rnacentral:lncRNA from 1 species